rnacentral:rRNA from 1 species
CCUACGGGGGGCAGCAGUGAGGAAUAUUGGUCAAUGGACGAGAGUCUGAACCAGCCACGUAGCGUGAAGGAUGACUGCCCUAUGGGUGGUAAACUUCUUUUAUAUGGGAAUAAAACGUUCCUCGUGGGGGAUUUUGUAUGUACCAUAUGAAUAAGGGUCGGCUAACUCCGUGCCAGCAGCCGCGGUAAUACGGAGGAUCCGAGCGUUAUCCGGAUUUAUUGGGUUUAAAGGGAGCGUAGGUGGAUUGUUAAGUCAGUUGUGAAAGUUUGCGGCUCAACCGGAAAAUUGCAGUUGAAACUGGCAGUCUUGAGUACAGUAGAGGUGGGCGGAAGUCGUGGUGUAGCGGUGAAAUGCUUAGAUAUCACGAAGAACUCCGAUUGCGAAGGCAGUUCACUGGACUGCAACUGACACUGAGGCUCGAAAGUGUGGGUAUCAAACAGGAUUAGAUACCCGGGUAGUC